AGUGAACGCUGGCGGUAGGCCUAACACAUGCAAGUCGAACGGCAGCACAGUAAGAGCUUGCUCGUACGGGUGGCGAGUGGCGGACGGGUGAGGGAUACAUCGGAAUCUACUUUUUCGUGGGGGAUAACGUAGGGAAACUUACGCUAAUACCGCAUACGACCUACGGGUGAAAGCAGGGGAUCUUCGGACCUUGCGCGAUUGAAUGAGCCGAUGUCGGAUUAGCUAGGUGGCGGGGUAAAGGCACACCAAGGCGACGAUCCGUAGCUGGUCUGAGAGGAUGAUCCGCCACACUGGAAGUGAGACACGGUAGAGACUCCUACGGGAGGAAGCAGUGGGGAAUCUUGGACAAUGGGGGAAAGCCUGAUCCAGCCAUACCGCGUGGGUGAAGAAGGCCUUCGGGUUGGAAAGCCCUUUUGUUGGGAAAGAAAAGCAGCAGGUUAAUACCCCGCUGUUAUGACGGUACCCAAAGAAUAAGCCCCGGCUAACUUCGUG
rnacentral:rRNA from 1 species